UCGUUUUAUGCUGUUUUUAAAACUUCUGGAAAGGUGGGUUUGGGUUUUUAUUUUGAUUUGGGUUGUUGUUUGUUUGUUGUUCUGGUGUUUUUAACCCAGUUGAAGUCUUGGAUUGCUUCUUUUGGUUUCUCUGAGGCAGUUAGUGUAAGACAACUGAAGUGCACCUAGGUCCUGUGAUGUUGAAACAUGUUUUUAAAUAGGUUGAUACAGGAGAUUUCAAGUUGAUUCUGCAAAUUUUAUCAAGAAUGGCAAUUUAAAUGGUGCGUAUUUCAUAUUGUAACCUUUCAUGAGGCACAUCGUUGCAGCGGAAUAUACAUUGGAUGCUAGUUCAUUUGUAGGAGUGGUUUGUUUCUUCAGUGGCAAGUGAAAUCCUGCCUGACCUUGAGCCACAUCUAAUCUACAUAGACCUCAUCUUUUCUCCACUGUACAGGGGUUUGAGAUGCAGUAGUUGAAAGAGCUGUGUAAGAAAAGGGGGGAAAAUUCUCAGGGCAGCAUGUUGAUAACAAAUUGUGUGUUCAUUGACAAGCAACACGUAAACAAGCUUUCAAGUUUUAAAUCACCUGAAAAGAGAAGAAAGCUCUUGCGGAGUCACCAGUUUAGUGAAAUGAAAAAUAAGGACUAGAUUUUGCCACUUACUGUGAAUGUACGUAUCUUACUUCUAGAGUGUAUUUCUGUAGGUCAGCAAGAUGGAUUCUUUGAGGUCAGCUGCAGUAUUCCAGAAGCUUGAUGUCACGAGUGCAUUCACUCAGGAUGGUACUUCAGGAGCUCUUCAGUUUGGACAUGCAUUUUCUAUUCCUGCACAUGACUGGGGUCAGAGCCCAGGCCUUUUCAGAUACUGGGAGCAGAGAAAUCUGGAGUCGAGUCUUGAGUGUGCUACGAACAUCCUGUCUACUUUUGAGGAACCCAAUCACUUCUGUUUUCUGUUUCUCAGUUAGUUGCAGGGCAAAGGUGGAUAAUUUGUGUACCCCCCAGGACAGAGUUCCCGUGGCUCACGAGCCAGCUGCAGUGCUGAGCCCUGCUGCAACGCAGAGUGCAGGAGCCUUUUCAUAUUUACUGCAUCUGGGGUGCGGAGCUAGAAGCUUUUGCUGUGAAUUCUCGAGUCCUCGGGGAGGUUGCUGGGAUGUCUACCUUUCCCUGUGCAGCUCCUGUGCCCAUUCCAGAUGCCCUCCUAUGGGGGAAGGAGUGGAGCUAUGGCAAGAGAGGCUACAGCAGUUCUUUUUAACCGGAGAGUGUGUGUGUGCACAUGGAAAGCUUUUGCAGAAUAGUGUGUUCCACACCGGGGACCUCACCUGGCCAAGUGACGUGUGUGUUCAGCUUGGGAGUGCUGUUUUAAGAUGUUGCCUUGAGUUAAAUGCAUCAUAAUCACCCUGAAGUGUGCUGGGGACAUGGGCUCUGGUGUCUCUAGAGAUAGAUGCUGAUGUAGAAUGGCCAGUGCUGUGUGUGCAUGCAUGUGGAGUGGGUGUGGGGGUGUUCGUUUGUGCUCUGUGUGACUGAGAGCUGCAGGGCUCAAGCUGUGCUUGUUCCAGAGGCGCUGGUGGACAUUGUGCUGACAACUGUGCAGCUCAACUCCUCUCUCUGUGGGAGCAGUCACCUCCCAGUGCUUCUGGGAGCCUACAGGGCCACGCUGAGCGCCGCAGGUCAGAAGAUACUACUGGUGCUUCAGUUGUAUGAGAAGAAUAAUCCAAGUCUUAUAAACUCCAGGAUCCUACUGUGAGGUCCAGUCGCUGUGGAGCAUCACAAGACUUGCAGAGUCUGGGCAAGUCCCUGUGGCAACAGCCAAGCACGGAGGAGAUUCUGUGUCUACUGGAUCGAGAGAAGCUGAUGGAGACGAUUCUGUCGUUCGCUCAGCAUCCCCGGCUGCUGUCACCACAGGUGAUACAAGAGUCACUAUAUAAAGAUGAAACAGUCAAGAGCCUUGAUGACUUCUAUGAUCCUUGUUUUCUACUUCAGCUCUUCAGUGAAUUGGCCAGACCAGGUUCAGCUUGACUUGUGCUCAAAGACAGGGAUGACUCCAUGCCAUAUGUGGUGAAUUGUUAUUUUGGAGGGGGAUUUGCAAGUUUAGGGCUAAAAUAUGGUGUGUAAGAAAAGACUUUUUUUGUAGCAUUAGAUAAAUGCUUUUGCAUGAGGUGUUGAAGGUCAGUUGUUUUACCAGUUCAAAGGGAGAAAACCAAACCAGGUUGACGGUGACACUCCUUUCAGCAAGGCUUGGUAUAUAUUUGAGCAAUUAUUUCUGUUAAUGCUGCUUUUGGUUGUGUUUGGUUUGCCAUGCAUUUGACUCAUUGUCAGUGUUUCUCAUACAGUAGGAGUGUUCCUCCUACUGAGUGUUUUCCACUCAAAGCAAGCAAUUGUGGUAUAAAGCAAGAAUAAUCUCAAAAAGUGGUUUGCGGUUUUGUUUUGGAUUUGGCUUUGGAUUUUUUUUUUAAUUUUUUUUUUACCCAACACUCUUUAACUUUACUACUGUGAGUUUUCUAGUUUUCUCCAAAAACUUGGCAUGAAUUUCCCCUUUCUGUCCCAUUGGUAGAUACUGUUUCUCUUAGAAAAGCUUCUACCCUCCACCUUCACUGCCCUGUUUUGAAGCAGUGCUCCAGUUUAGCCUGCAGCGAUGGCUCUUGCAUCCUUUUCCAUUCAGGUAAUUAAAACCUGAAGUAAAACUAACACUUUGUUGUUGCCAUACCUGCCACAGGAGCUCACAUUACUGCAGUGUAAUUUGUGAGGCAGUUGAGAGGAGAGGGAAGGACUGGGCCAGAGUUCCUAAGGAACUCAGAAUUUCAG